UACGGAGGGGGCUAGCGUUGCUCGGAAUCACUGGGCGUAAAGCGCACGUAGGCGGGUCAGCAAGUCAGGGGUGAAAUCCCGGGGCUUAACCUCGGAACUGCCUUUGAAACUGCUGACCUUGAGGUCGAGAGAGGUGAGUGGAAUUCCUAGUGUAGAGGUGAAAUUCGUAGAUAUUAGGAAGAACACCAGUGGCGAAGGCGGCUCACUGGCUCGAUUCUGACGCUGAGGUGCGAAAGCGUGGGGAGCAAACACG
rnacentral:rRNA from 1 species